UACGUAGGGUGCAAGCGUUGUCCGGAAUUAUUGGGCGUAAAGAGCUCGUAGGCGGUUUGUCGCGUCUGCCGUGAAAGUCCGGGGCUCAACUCCGGAUCUGCGGUGGGUACGGGCAGACCAGAGUGAUGUAGGGGAGACUGGAAUUCCUGGUGUAGCGGUGAAAUGCGCAGAUAUCAGGAGGAACACCGAUGGCGAAGGCAGGUCUCUGGGCAUUAACUGACGCUGAGGAGCGAAAGCAUGGGGAGCGAACAGG
rnacentral:rRNA from 1 species